CAGUUGGUAGCUCAGUGGUAGAGUGCAUGCUUUGUGUGUCUGACGUCCUGGGUUCAAAUCCGUUGCAAAUGA